UACAUGGGGUGCAAACGUUGCUCGGAAUUAUUGGGCGUAAAGCGCGCGUAGGCGGUUACUCAAGUCGGAUGUGAAAGCCCUCGGCUUAACUGAGGAAGUGCACCCGAAACUGAGUAGCUAGAGUACUAAAGAGGGUCGCGGAAUUCCCGGUGUAGAGGUGAAAUUCGUAAAUAUCGGAAGGAACACCGGUGGCGAAGGCGGCGACCUGGGUCGAUACUGACGCUGAUGCGCGAAAGCGUGGGGAGCAAACAGG
rnacentral:rRNA from 1 species